AUCAUGGCUCAGGACGAACGCUGGCGGCGUGCUUAACACAUGCCAAGUCGAACGAUGAUGCCCAGCUUGCUGGGUGGAUUAGUGGCGAACGGGUGAGUAACACGUGAGUAACCUGCCCCUGACUCUGGGAUAAGCGUUGGAAACGACGUCUAAUACUGGAUAUGAUCACUGGCCGCAUGGUCUGGUGGUGGAAAGAUUUUUUGGUUGGGGAUGGACUCGCGGCCUAUCAGCUUGUUGGUGAGGUAAUGGCUCACCAAGGCGACGACGGGUAGCCGGCCUGAGAGGGUGACCGGCCACACUGGGACUGAGACACGGCCCAGACUCCUACGGGAGGCAGCAGUGGGGAAUAUUGCACAAUGGGCGAAAGCCUGAUGCAGCAACGCCGCGUGAGGGAUGACGGCCUUCGGGUUGUAAACCUCUUUUAGUAGGGAAGAAGCGAAAGUGACGGUACCUGCAGAAAAAGCACCGGCUAACUACGUGCCAGCAGCCGCGGUAAUACGUAGGGUGCAAGCGUUGUCCGGAAUUAUUGGGCGUAAAGAGCUCGUAGGCGGUUUGUCGCGUCUGCUGUGAAAUCCCGAGGCUCAACCUCGGGCUUGCAGUGGGUACGGGCAGACUAGAGUGCGGUAGGGGAGAUUGGAAUUCCUGGUGUAGCGGUGGAAUGCGCAGAUAUCAGGAGGAACACCGAUGGCGAAGGCAGAUCUCUGGGCCGUAACUGACGCUGAGGAGCGAAAGCAUGGGGAGCGAACAGGAUUAGAUACCCUGGUAGUCCAUGCCGUAAACGUUGGGCGCUAGAUGUAGGGACCUUUCCACGGUUUCUGUGUCGUAGCUAACGCAUUAAGCGCCCCGCCUGGGGAGUACGGCCGCAAGGCUAAAACUCAAAGGAAUUGACGGGGGCCCGCACAAGCGGCGGAGCAUGCGGAUUAAUUCGAUGCAACGCGAAGAACCUUACCAAGGCUUGACAUACACCGGAAACGGCCAGAGAUGGUCGCCCCCUUGUGGUCGGUGUACAGGUGGUGCAUGGUUGUCGUCAGCUCGUGUCGUGAGAUGUUGGGUUAAGUCCCGCAACGAGCGCAACCCUCGUUCUAUGUUGCCAGCGGGUUAUGCCGGGGACUCAUAGGAGACUGCCGGGGUCAACUCGGAGGAAGGUGGGGAUGACGUCAAAUCAUCAUGCCCCUUAUGUCUUGGGCUUCACGCAUGCUACAAUGGCCGGUACAAAGGGCUGCGAUACCGUAAGGUGGAGCGAAUCCCAAAAAGCCGGUCUCAGUUCGGAUUGAGGUCUGCAACUCGACCUCAUGAAGUCGGAGUCGCUAGUAAUCGCAGAUCAGCAACGCUGCGGUGAAUACGUUCCCGGGCCUUGUACACACCGCCCKUCAAGUCAUGAAAGUCGGUAACACCCGAAGCCGGUGGCCUAACCCUUGUGGAAGGAGCCGUCGAAGG
rnacentral:rRNA from 1 species